rnacentral:lncRNA from 1 species
AGAAAAUAUGCAAUGAGCCAAAAAAGAAAAGGAUGAGCUAUUUGAAAAAAGUGAAAGAAGAUUUAAGUCUUAAAAAUAUGCAAUGAGUGUUAUUUUUAAUAAAAUAAUGCAACCUCAUGAAGCUAAAAAAAUAUUCAGAGAAUUAUAUCUCUAUUUACAAUGGAGUGGUACUAGUCAAUACUUAUCAUACCAAACAUUAACAUCAAACCACUCAAACUAUGAUCAGAGCAUUAUACAAAGGAUUAGUCAGAAAAGUUACCAUCAACUGCUCUUAUCCUAUGAACAUAUUUCCAGACG